AGAUUGAACGCUGGCGGCAUGCCUUACACAUGCAAGUCGAACGGCAGCACGGGGGCAACCCUGGUGGCGAGUGGCGAACGGGUGAGUAAUGCAUCGGAACGUGCCCAGUAGUGGGGGAUAACUAGUCGAAAGAUUAGCUAAUACCGCAUACGACCUAUGGGUGAAAGCGGGGGAUUCGGACAAGAACCUCGCGCUAUCGGAGCGGCCGAUGUCUGAUUAGCUAGGUUGGACGGGUAAAAGCCCACCAAGGCUUACGAUCAGUAGCUGGUCUGAGAGGACGACCAGCCACACUGGACUGAGACACGGCCCAGACUCCGUACGGGAGCAGCAGGUGGGUAAUUUUGGACAAGU
rnacentral:rRNA from 1 species